UGGGGGAUAUUGCACAAUGGGCGAAAGCCUGAUGCAGCAACGCCGCGUGAGGGAAGACGGUUUUUCGGAUUGUAAACCUCUGUUCUAAGUGACGAAAGAAAUGACGGUAGCUUAGGAGAAAGCCCCGGCUAACUACGUGCCAGCAGCCGCGGUAAUACGUAGGGGGCAAGCGUUGUCCGGAAUUACUGGGUGUAAAGGGAGCGCAGGCGGAGAAGCAAGUCAGUGGUGAAAACGAUGGGCUUAACUCAUCGACUGCCAUUUGAAACUGUUUCCCUUGAGUGAAGUAGAGGCAGGCGGAAUUCCGAGUGUAGCGGUGAAAUGCGUAGAUAUUCGGAGGAACACCAGUGGCGAAGGCGGCCUGCUGGGCUUUAACUGACGCUGAGGCUCGAAAGUGUGGGGAGCAAACAGGAUUAGAUACC
rnacentral:rRNA from 1 species